GAGAGGAUGUGAGUGCAGCUGGGGAGAAACGGGGGCCACCUGCCCCUCCAACUAGGGCCAUAAGGGAGCAGGGAAUUACAGAGAGCAAGUCAGAGCCUAACUCAGCAGGGCACUUGUGCUGCCAUUGUACGGGCUGGCUUGCCAACAGCCACUUUAUGUAGGAAAAGUAUGGGAAUUCCAGGGGUGUCUUGGGCCCUAAAAGUAUCCAGCCAACCUCAGGGACAAAGAGGAACCAAAGGCCGAGCACCGGAUCUGGGCCAGGUGAAGGCAGCAAAACCUGCCCCAUGGUCUUCAUCGAGCUCUGAGGCCAGCCUGUCCUGAGUGCCCAAAGUGAAGACGUGAGUGCUGCAGCCACUCAGAUCCAGAGCAACAGAAUUAGUGAACUUCAGGGCCGAGAGUUCAGGGAGAGCGUGUGGGAAAGCCCUCCGAAGAUGUCGGGCUCAGCAUCUGAGCGUUCUGAGGCCAGCCUGCCAGAGAAGCCCACCUGCAACGCCUCUGGUGCGGUGCUGCUGGCACACAAGGGGUCCAGGUCUAGGGAGCGCCAGCCACCAAGGAGCAAGCACCAAGGGCUCCUACCGUGUCACGGCAGGCAGCAGCUUGCUGCUUGCUGCUGCCAGCGUCAUAAUGGGCAAGCCAGCGCUGGCCGUGUGGCAAUGGUGUCACAAUGGGUUGGUUUGUGAUGCGGCCGCCCAGGAGCAGUAUAAAAGGGGCUGCGUGCUGCUGGGUCCUGCAUCCUGAAGAGCAUCCAGCAGAGGACUGGAAGCGUCAGGAAGGGAUGAGCUCCCACAUGGCUGUCGCCAACAAGGAGCAACCCGCUGUCGUGAGACGGACCAAGAUAAGGUUCUGGGAGGAUGGCCUCUCAACGCACUAUGCUUUGAGAAUGCCAAAUGUCACCACCAAAGGUAUAAAUGUCCACAGCCACCACAGGAGCACUGCUGGCAACGAGCGGGUGACAGCCAGCGCUGUGACACUCUCGGGGCUGUCUCCGUGUGGGGCUGGGCUCAGAGAUGGCGUUUUCCAUCUGCCACCUCGCUACCAGCAGUAGCAGCACCAACAAGUGGCAGAUGCAGAGCGUGACCUGCUUUUCCUUUGCCCUCCAGAGCGAGUAGCUGUCUGGGAUGCGGUGGCCAUCUACGUGCAACAGCAUCUCCUGCUGCGCAAGGGGGUCCGAAUUCCAUCCCUCGGCUCCUUCGACAUCGUCUGCAAAUGGUUCAAGGCUAAGGGUGAGACUGUGAUUGUGCAGUGGCCUGAGUUUCGCCUGGCCAGGAACCUUGUGGAAAAACACAACCUUGUGUACGAUAAAGAAUACCUGCCAGGCCAUAGGGAGGUGGAGCCCCUCAAAUGCGCUGAGGUGGCCGCAGCCGCAUCGGUGUCCUGGCAGACAGGGGAGGCCUGCAUAUACGGCACCACGUCCCUCGUCUCCCACUGCCUGACGAAGGGGGAGAACAUUGCCUUUGUCCUGAAGGACAUAGGAGUUCUCCUCAUUGAUGGAACACGAGUUCAAAUGAAAUACUACCGCGACUUCCUGGAGAGGAUCUGUGGGAAGGAGGACCUAAAAAUAGCUCUUUCCAAGGUCCCCUGCUUGAGGGACAUGGUGGUUUCCCGGGUGGCGGUGUUGGCCUCCCUGACGUUCUCCGGACGGGUCAUCGUCUUUCCCAAGUGAGUAUGUUGGUGGCUGUAGC